rnacentral:rRNA from 1 species
GAUGAACGCUAGCGACAGGCCUAACACAUGCAAGUCGAGGGGCAGCAUAAAGGUAGCAAUACUUUGGUGGCGACCGGCGCACGGGUGAGUAACACGUAUGCAACCUGCCUGUAAGAGGGGGAUAACCCGGAGAAAUUCGGACUAAUACCGCAUAAUACCACGAAUUCGCAUGGAUUUGUGUUUAAACAUUUAUGGCUUACAGAUGGGCAUGCGUAUGAUUAGCUAGUAGGUGAGGUAACGGCUCACCUAGGCAACGAUCAUUAGGGGUUCUGAGAGGAAGGUCCCCCACACUGGUACUGAGACACGGACCAGACUCCUACGGGAGGCAGCAGUGAGGAAUAUUGGUCAAUGGGCGAGAGCCUGAACCAGCCAAGUCGCGUGAAGGAAGAAGGUUCUAUGGAUUGUAAACUUCUUUUGUAAGGGAAUAAAAAGAGUUACGUGUAACUUAUUGUAUGUACUUUACGAAUAAGGAUCGGCUAACUCCGUGCCAGCCGCCGCUGUAAAAC